UGGUCUGUCUGUGUUACAGGUUAUAUGUUGGUCUGUCUGUGUUACUGGUUAUAUGUUGGUCUGUCUGUGUUACAGGUUAUAUGUUGCUCUGUCUGUCUGUCUCUCUGUCUGUCUGUGUUACUGGUUAUAUGUUGGUAUGUCUGUGUUACUGGUUAUAUGUCUGUCUGUCUGUGUUACUGGUUAUAUGUUGGUAUGUCUGUGCUUAUUUUCUGUCUGUAUUGUUAUUGGAUUUGUUUUUAAUAACCUUCCCAGGGACUCUGGUCGAAAAUUAACUGGGUAAUGUACAUGUUGAGGUCCAGAGUGUAUAACUGGGUAAUGUACAUGUUGAGGUCCAGAGUGUAUAACUGGGUAAUGUACAUGUUGAGGUCCAGAGUGUAUAACUGGGUAAUGUACAUGUUGAGGUCCAGAGUGUAUAACUGGGUAAUGUACAUGUUGAGGUCCAGAGUGUAUAACUGGGUAAUGUACAUGUUGAGGUCCAGAGUGUAUAACUGGGUAAUGUACAUGUUGAGGUUCAGAUCUUCUUUCACAUUUCACAGGUGUUAGCAUCUUUCACAUUUCACAAGGGGAGGGGACAUUUGGUCCAUAUUCUUGCCUGUAACAUGGAAAGAGAGGGUGGAGCUCUUCGUUCCGGUUCAUUCUAUCUCUUCUCUUAAAGCCCAUGCAGUUGUUGAAAGUGUAUUUUUAAAUCAUCAUCAUUGUACGGCUAAUAAAUCACUGUUUAUUUCAUGAAAA